rnacentral:rRNA from 1 species
CACGUAGGGUGCGGGCGUUGUCCGGAAUUAUUGGGCGUAAAGAGCUCGUAGGCGGUGUGUCGCGUCGGCCGUGAAAACCUGCAGCUUAACUGUGGGCGUGCGGUCGAUACGGGCAUCACUGGAGUUCGGCAGGGGAGACUGGAAUUCCUGGUGUAGCGGUGAAAUGCGCAGAUAUCAGGAGGAACACCGGUGGCGAAGGCGGGUCUCUGGGCCGAUACUGACGCUGAGGAGCGAAAGCGUGGGGAGCGAACAGG